CGCCUGUUUAUCAAAAACAUGUCUUUUUGAGUUAUUUUUAAAGUCUGACCUGCCCACUGAAGUUAUUUAAAUGGCCGGCAGUAUUCUAACUGUGCAAAGGUAGCAUAAUCAUUAGUCUUUUAAUUGAAGGCUGGUAUGAACGGUUGGACGAGGUAUAAGCUGUUUCAUAUAAAUUUAUAAUAGAAUUUUAUAUUUUAGUCAAAAAGCUAAAAUUUAAUUAAAAGACGAGAAGACCCUAUAAAUCUUUAUACUUUACAUUGUUUAAAUUUUUUAGAUUAAUUUUAUUUUUAUAAUUUAAAGUAUUUUGUUGGGGUGAUAUUAAAAUUUAAUGAACUUUUAAUUAUUUAAAAUCAUUAAUUUAUGAGUUAUUGAUCCAUUAGUAGUGAUUAUAAGAUUAAGUUACUUUAGGGAUAACAGCGUAAUUUUUUUGGAGAGUUCAUAUCGAUAAAAAAGUUUGCGACCUCGAUGUUGGAUUAAGAUAUAUUUUUAGGUGUAGCCGCUUAAAUGUGAAGUCUGUUCGACUUUUAAAUUCUUACGUGAUCUGAGUUCAGACCGG
rnacentral:rRNA from 1 species